rnacentral:rRNA from 1 species
AUUGAACGCUGGCGGCAGGCCUAACACAUGCAAGUCGAGCGGAUGAAGGGAGCUUGCUCCUGGAUUCAGCGGCGGACGGGUGAGUAAUGCCUAGGAAUCUGCCUGGUAGUGGGGGAUAACGUCCGGAAACGGGCGCUAAUACCGCAUACGUCCUGAGGGAGAAAGUGGGGGAUCUUCGGACCUCACGCUAUCAGAUGAGCCUAGGUCGGAUUAGCUAGUUGGUGGGGUAAAGGCCUACCAAGGCGACGAUCCGUAACUGGUCUGAGAGGAUGAUCAGUCACACCGGAACUGAGAAAACGUUCAGACUCCCAAGGGAGGGAGCAGUGGGGAAUUAUUGGACAUGGGGCGAAGGCCUAUUCCGGCAAGGCGGCGGGGGGAAAAAGGUCUUCGGAUUGUAAAGCACUUUAAGUUGGGAGGAAGGGCAGUAAGUUAAUACCUUGCUGUUUUGACGUUACCAACAGAAUAAGCACCGGCUAACUUCGUG